rnacentral:rRNA from 1 species
AAGGGUAGCCGGCCUGAGAGGGCGACCGGCCACACUGGGACUGAGACACGGCCCAGACUCCUACGGGAGGCAGCAGUGGGGAAUAUUGCACAAUGGGCGAAAGCCUGAUGCAGCGACGCCGCGUGAGGGAUGACGGCCUUCGGGUUGUAAACCUCUUUCAGCAGGGAAGAAGCGAGAGUGACGGUACCUGCAGAAGAAGCGCCGGCUAACUACGUGCCAGCAGCCGCGGUAAUACGUAGGGCGCAAGCGUUGUCCGGAAUUAUUGGGCGUAAAGAGCUCGUAGGCGGCUUGUCACGUCGGUUGUGAAAGCCCGGGGCUUAACCCCGGGUCUGCAGUCGAUACGGGCAGGCUAGAGUUCGGUAGGGGAGAUCGGAAUUCCUGGUGUAGCGGUGAAAUGCGCAGAUAUCAGGAGGAACACCGGUGGCGAAGGCGGAUCUCUGGGCCGAUACUGACGCUGAGGAGCGAAAGCGUGGGGAGCGAACAGGAUUAGAUACCCUGGUAGUCCACGCCGUAAACGGUGGGCACUAGGUGUGGGCAACAUUCCACGUUGUCCGUGCCGCAGCUAACGCAUUAAUG